rnacentral:rRNA from 1 species
CAGUAGCCACGGUAAUACGGAGGGAGCUAGCGUUAUUCGGAAUUACUGGGCGUAAAGCGCACGUAGGCGGCUUCGUAAGUUAGAGGUGAAAGCCCGGGGCUCAACCCCGGAAUUGCCUUUAAGACUGCAUCGCUUGAAUCCAGGAGAGGUGAGUGGAAUUCUGAGUGUAGAGGUGAAAUUCGUAGAUAUUCGGAAGAACACCAGUGGCGAAGGCGGCUCACUGGACUGGUAUUGACGCUGAGGUGCGAAAGCGUGGGGAGCAAACAGGAUUAGAUACCCGUGUAGUCCCUGUCUCUUAUAC